UGCAAGUCAUAAGACUUGUC
rnacentral:misc_RNA from 1 species